rnacentral:lncRNA from 13 species
GGCCUAUCCACCAUUUCACAUUGUAACGUCUGGUAUAAGUAUCUUGAAUGGUAAGGGUACUAGAUGUCCCUUUGAAAUUGAGAAGCGCGCGUGCGGCCAGGUGGUGAGGUAGUAAAUCUGUGUUUUAUCCCGCGAACUUUCAGGUGCUGACUGCCACUUUGCGAUCAUCGCCCACCCGGCUGUUCUGCCAGACUGUGUUGUUGCAUCAGUAUCCAACACAGAGACACAUCCUCCUAUCUGCUGCGUAACAGGCGGCCCUGGUCCCCC